rnacentral:rRNA from 1 species
AGGCGGCCUUCUGGACAGUACUGACGCUGAGAUGCGAAAGCGUGGGGAGCAAACAGGAUUAGAUACCUGGUAGUCCACGCUGUAAACGAUGUCGAUUUGGAGUUUGAGGGCAUGACCCUUGGGCUCCGGAGCUAACGCGUUAAAUCGACCGCCUGGGGAGUACGGCCGCAAGGUUAAAACUCAAAUGAAUUGACGGGGGCCCGCACAAGCGGUGGAGCAUGUGGUUUAAUUCGAUGCAACGCGAAGAACCUUACCUGGUCUUGACAUCCAUAGAAUCUUGUAGAGAUACGAGAGUGCCUUCGGGAGCUAUGAGACAGGUGCUGCAUGGCUGUCGUCAGCUCGUGUUGUGAAAUGUUGGGUUAAGUCCCGCAACGAGCGCAACCCUUAUCCUUUGUUGCCAGCGGGUAAUGCCGGGAACUCAAAGGAGACUGCCGUUGAUAAAGCGGAGGAAGGUGGGGACGACGUCAAGUCAUCAUGGCCCUUACGACCAGGGCUACACACGUGCUACAAUGGCGUAUACAAAGGGAGGCGAAGGUGCGAACUGGAGCGGACCUCACAAAGUACGUCUAAGUCCGGAUUGGGGUCUGCAACUCGACUCCAUGAAGUCGGAAUCGCUAGUAAUCGUGAAUCAGAAUGUCACGGUGAAUACGUUCCCGGGCCUUGUACACACCGCCCGUCACACCAUGGGAGUGGGUUGCACCAGAAGUAGAUAGCUUAACCGAAAGGAGGGCGUUUACCACGGUGUGAUUCAUGACUGGGGUGAAGUCGUAACAAGGUAACCA